CUCUCUGAAGACAAUCACUUAACCAAACCAAUAAAAUAAUCCUCGCUCUAUAAUUAAAGAGGCAGUACAUGUGCCGUCCUUUCUCUGAGACUCCAUCAUUGGUCUUUCAUUUUUUUGGGCGAACAGCAUCAUUGGUCUUUCUUCCUUGUACUAAAGAAAAGAAAGAAGAAAAAGGAAGAAGAGGAAGAAGAAAGAAGAAUCCAACCCAACCUAACCCUCUUCGAGAAGGAACACCGCGCGCAGCACCAACCACCAGGAAUUUACGUGAACUCAAUUGCAGCGACCAGAAGCACAAGUACAAGUGUGAAAGAAGACAAAUCGCAAAUAUACAUCACAACCCAGAAACCACAAAUCGUUGCUCGAAUCCAGUACACAAUUUAUGUUCAAGGGUUAGUUUAAGGCUCACUUCAGCUUUUAUAUAUUGGAUGAAGCUUGGGCAAAAACAGGGAAAGAGUUAGUUCAUACACAGAGAGACUGGUGGUUUGGCUUUGCUGCUCUGUUUCUCUCACUCCAAUAUUCGCCAAUUUCUUUUUGAAUGAUGGAUUUGAGGAUUGAUAUGCCGAGGGCUUCCUUUGCUCAAAUUGGCAAUCUCGGGCUUCUGCUGCUAUGGCAUAUUCUACACCUUUUUGUCAGCAUAUGGUACUUUCUAUUGGGUGUAGCUUAUGUGCUUCAAAGCUAUCUUAUUUCUGGUGGAGUACUCAAGAGCUUCAAAGCCCUUAAUUUGGGCAAGCUACGGUACCUGGCAAUUGUGAUAGAAAGUGAAGAAGCUUACCAAACAUCAAAAGUAAUUGAGCUGCUG